UGCAUGGCCGUCGUCAGUUCGUACUGUGAAGCAUCCUGUUAAGUCAGGCAACGAGCGAGACCCACGCCAACAGUUGCCAGCUCGUCCUCCGGGAUGGUGGGGGACACUGUUGGGACCGCUCUGCUAAAGAGGAGGAAGGGAAUGGGCAACGGUAGGUCAGCAUGCCCCGAAUUAUCUGGGCUACACGCGGGCUACAAUGGGUGGGACAAUGGGUAUCGACACCGAAAGGUGAAGGCAAUCUCCUAAACCCAUCCGUAGUUCGGAUUGUGGGCUGCAACUCGCCCACAUGAAGCUGGAAUCUGUAGUAAUCGUGUCUCAAAAUGGCACGGUGAAUAUGUCCCUGCUCCUU
rnacentral:rRNA from 1 species